rnacentral:rRNA from 1 species
UACGGGGGGGGCAAGCGUUGUUCGGAAUUACUGGGCGUAAAGGGCUCGUAGGCGGCCAACUAAGUCAGACGUGAAAUCCCUCGGCUUAACCGGGGAACUGCGUCUGAUACUGGAUGGCUUGAGAUUGGGAGAGGGAUGCGGAACUCCAGGUGUAGCGGUGAAAUGCGUAGAUAUCUGGAGGAACACCGGUGGCGAAGGCGGCAUCCUGGACCAACACUGACGCUGAGGAGCGAAAGCCAGGGGAGCAAACGGG